UUGGUGGCGCGAGCCCCUCACCUGGCCGCGGCCCGACAGACGGCCUGGGACCCCAGGGUCAGGUUCUCUUGGCAAGGGAUGUCUCCAGAGAGGACUGAGGAGCCACUGCUGGUCCGCGCGCGCCCCGGACUGCGCUCCUUGCAAAGCCUUCUCAAUGGUUUGGAAUAGACACUGCUAACAAGAGUAUUAGUAGUAAACUAAGAAGAACAGAGAAAUUGAAUGAAAAGUGAGAACAUGGAGAGAGGCAAAAUGUGCAGUCAACAGAUUGGGAAGGAAAAGAGCGUGGCUGGAUCAGGGAUGAUUGAAGUAAUUCCACUGAACUCAUUGAAAUUACGCUGACAGCCACUUGACAUGGAAACAUGGAGGAAGAAGGCCCUGGAAUCCAUAAUCCUCUGAAGAAACAUCUGCUCAUUUGUCUGAUUUCUCCCUAAUCUGUACACUUCUCCAAAGCAGGAUGUAUAGUCACAGUUGCUCCCGUAUUCCCAAUAAUUAGUCAUAGUUAUGCUUUUUUCAACCCCUUGUACUGCAAGGAAUCUUUCUGGAAUAAACUGUACAGAAUAGGAAGAAUAGGUGAUGGUCUUUGAGAUAUUUUGCAGGACAUAGAAGAAAACCUAAAGGGGACACAAAUCCCAUCGAUUAGUUUCUUAAGAGUGGACAAGUAGAGUGGCCUUAGGAGUGGUCUUCUCUAUUAACCAGAGAUAGCAGGGUACAAAGACAGGACCAACAAAGUUUGUUCAUGGAAAAAGACUUGUUUCAAGGCCCUAAUGCUUUUUAAAACUGUCAUCAAGGCUUAACUAUCAGCUCUGUCUGCUAACGUGAGUGAAGUGUUUUGAAAAGAUGGAGAGAAAGUCAGCAUUAGGAUAUGAUCAUUGUCAUUCCUUUCAAGUAGGCAUUUUCUAGCGCCAUUGGCUUAUUUGCCCGGUGUAGCUUUCUCUAACCUCCUGUCUGUGCUGUUGGGAAGAAAUAAUUCCUCCGUGUUAGGAUAGCACUUUUUACACCUCUUUUCAUGACACUGCAACACUUCACGUGCAGUAAAUCAAGAUCUCUGACGGAAGAUGUAAUGGAAAGGAAACUAAGGGUUAAGUUAUUUGGUCAGACAUAAUACCAGAUUUUUAAAAUAUUCUGUACUUUGUUUUAAUAACUACUUAAUUAUGUAGGUACUAAUUCCCCCCUUUUUUUUUAGAUGAAAAGCUAAAGAGAAAUUAACAGAACCUGACCAGUAGUCAGUGGUGUUUCCAAAUUCCUAGGUCUUACUUACAGCAGUCAUUACUUUUUCUUCAUAAUUCAUAUAGCUUAAAAUACACAAUGUAGGGUGCCCUCUUUAUUACUCAUUGACACUCUCAUAACCCUUUCCUCCUUGUUUUUGCCCAAGCAAAAGCUUUCAAAUGUCAGUUAAUAAGUGCGACAGGGAUAAAAUAAGAAAAAUUUGGAGUUCCCAUCAUGGUGCAGUGGUCAGCGAAUCUGACUAGGAACUAUGAGGUUGCAGGUUCGAUCCCUGCCCCUGCUCAGUGGGGUAACGAUCCGGCGUUGCCGUGAGCUGUGGUGUAGGUUGCAGACGCGGCUCGGAUUCUGAGAUGCUGUGGCUUCGGCGUAGGCCAGCAGCUACAGCUCCAAUUCGACCCCUAGCCUGGGAGCCUCCAUAUGCCGCGGGAGCG
rnacentral:lncRNA from 1 species